CUUCUGGCAGCCGCCGCGUGUGCACAGGAUGCCUCCCAGCGGCGGCCUUUCCCCGGCGGCUCUUCACUGCUCUGUUGCCUCGGUCCUGCCCUGGCUCGAUUGCACCAUAUCCGGCUGCUGUGGGCGUCUCUUCUGAGUUGUUGCUGCUCCGAGCGCGCUUGCGAGUGGCGGCUGCCUCUCGCUGCUGAUUGACACCUCUGCGCAGCCGUGGAGAGUUGUCUGCUUCUGCACCAG
rnacentral:lncRNA from 1 species